rnacentral:rRNA from 1 species
GACGAACGCUGGCGGCGUGCUUAACACAUGCAAGUCGAACGGAAAGGCCCAGCUUGCUGGGUACUCGAGUGGCGAACGGGUGAGUAGCACGUGGGUGAUCUGCCCCUGACUUUGGGAUAAGCCUGGGAAACUGGGUCUAAUACCGGAUAUGACCUUACAUCGCAUGGUGUUUGGUGGAAAGCUUUUGCGGUUGGGGAUGGGCCCGCGGCCUAUCAGCUUGUUGGUGGGGUAAUGGCCUACCAAGGCGACGACGGGUAGCCGACCUGAGAGGGUGAUCGGCCACACUGGGACUGAGACACGGCCCAGACUCCUACGGGAGGCAGCAGUGGGGAAUAUUGCACAAUGGGCGCAAGCCUGAUGCAGCGACGCCGCGUGAGGGAUGACGGCCUUCGGGUUGUAAACCUCUUUCACCAGGGACGAAGCGUGAGUGACGGUACCUGGAGAAGAAGCACCGGCCAACUACGUG